rnacentral:rRNA from 1 species
UACGUAGGCAGCGAGCGUUGUUCGGAGUUACUGGGCGUAAAGGGUGUGUAGGCGGUUGUUUAAGUUUGGUGUGAAAUCCCCCGGCUCAACUGGGAGGGUGCGCCGAAUACUGAAUGACUUGGAGUGCGGGAGAGGAAAGUGGAAUUCCUGGUGUAGCGGUGAAAUGCGUAGAUAUCAGGAGGAACACCGGUGGUGUAGACGGCUUUCUGGACCGUAACUGACGCUGAGACACGAAAGCGUGGGUAGCAAACAGG